AGAAGCAAUAAAGCCACAGUGUCUCGC
rnacentral:sRNA from 1 species